UCGGGAAUCUUGGGCAAUGGGCGAAAGCCUGACCCANCGACGCCGCGUGGAGGACGAAGCCCUUCGGGGUGUAAACUCCUUUUGCCAGGGACGACUUCGGACGGUACCUGGUGAAUAAGCCCCGGCUAACUACGUGCCAGCAGCCGCGGUAAUACGUAGGGGGCGAGCGUUGCCCGGAUUUACUGGGCGUAAAGCGCACGUAGGCGGCUCCGUAAGUCUGGUGUGAAAUCUCCCGGCUCAACCGGGAGGCUGCACUGGAUACUACGGGGCUNGAGGGCAGGAGAGGAGAUUGGAAUUCCCGGUGUAGCGGUGAAAUGCAUUGAUAUCGGGAGGAACACCAGUGGCGAAGGCGGAUCUCUGGCCUGCUUCUGACGCUGAGGUGCGAAAGCUGGGGGAGCNAAAGGGAUUAGAUACCCCUGUAGUCCCAGCCCUAAACGAUAGGCGCUANGUGUUGGGGGCGAAGCCCUCAGUGCCGCAGCUAACGCAUUAAGCGCCCCGCCUGGGGA
rnacentral:rRNA from 1 species